rnacentral:lncRNA from 1 species
CUUUAGAACACAAGCCUUUCCAGGGUUAUUAACCAUGCUAUAUAGUCAGCUCUGACUAACAGUUAUCAGUGUGAUGGCUUUCGCACUGUUGAACAAGGAGAUCCUUCCUCCAGAUGUGAUAGAGACAAGAUGACUUGGGGUGUGGAAGCCAAAAAGCUAUGGCAGAACCAUCCUGAUCCCUUGAUGGCAAGCAGUCUAUCCAGAAAGAAAGUUGUGGAUGCCUGACAGAAACCUGUUGCUGUCCACAACAUACGACAGGAAAGAGCAGGAAGGAGCUCAUGACAGAGACACAAAAAGGAUCCGAGGUUAGGAUGGAAGUUGAAGCACCUGGAAGCCAGAGCUCCAAGCCCACAACAAUUCAACCAAAAUCUCUGGGGAUGUAUCCCAGACAGUGUUUGCAAAGAAGUUUCUCCAGGUGAUUCAAAUUGUGCUGAUGGAGUAUGGAGAUACCUCAGAGAACUAGGACUAGAGGUUCCAUUUGAC